rnacentral:rRNA from 1 species
UACAGAGGGGGCAAGCGUUGUCCGGAAUUACUGGGCGUACAGCGCGCGCAGGCGGUCUUGGACGUGCCGUGUGACAGACGUCGGCUCAACCGACGUAGGCCAGGGUACACGACAAGACUGGAGACAGAGAGAGGGAUGUGGAAUACCCGGUGGAGCGGUGAAAUGCGUAGAUAUCUGGAGGAACACCGGUGGCGAAGGCGGCAUCCUGGACCAAUUCUGACGCUGAGGGGCGAAAGCCAGGGGAGCAAACGGG